UUAUGCUGAUAAGAGCGUAUGGUGGAUGCCUUGGCACUAAGAGCCGAUGAAAGACGUGAUAAGCUGCGAAAAGCUUCGGGGAGGGGCAAAUACCCAUCGAUCCGGAGAUUUCUGAAUGGGGAAACCUAACUGAGCAAACCUCAGUUAUCCUGACGCCAAUCCAUAACGUCAGGAAGGGAACCCGGUGAACUGAAACAUCUAAGUAGCCGGAGGAAGAGAAAACAACAUGUGAUUCUGUGAGUAGCGGCGAGCGAAAACGGAAGAGCCCAAACCGGGAUGCGUGCAUCCCGGGGUUCGGACCGCGGAAUUGAUUCAACAAGUUUAGCAGAACAGUUUUGGGAAAGCUGACCAAAGAGGGUGAAAGUCCCGUAAGCGAAAGGCGAGUUGACAUGGCGGUAUCCAGAGUAGGUCGAGACACGUGGAACCUUGACUGAAUAUGCGGGGACCACCCCGUAAGGCUAAAUACUCCUUAGUGACCGAUAGCGCAUAGUACUGUGAAGGAAAGGUGAAAAGGACCCCGGGAGGGGAGUGAAAAAGAACCUGAAACCAUAUGUUUACAAGCUGUGGAACAUCUUUAUAUGAUGAACCGCGUACUUUUUGUAGAACGGUCCGGCGAGUUACGCUGGCUGGCGAGGUUAAGCACUGAAGGUGCGGAGCCGAAGGGAAACCAAGUCUGAAUAGGGCGAAAGUCAGUCGGAGUAGACCCGAAACCGGGUGAUCUAUCCAUGUCCAGGUUGAAGUUGCCGUAAAAGGCAAUGGAGGACCGAACCCACAUCCGUUGAAAAGGGUGGGGAUGAGGUGUGGAUAGGGGAGAAAUUCCAAUCGAACCCGGAGAUAGCUGGUUCUCCUCGAAAUAGCUUUAGGGCUAGCCUCAUACAAGUCUUGCGGAGGUAGAGCACUGAAUUCCUACGGGGGCGUCAAAGCUUACCAAGGGAUAUCAAACUCCGAAUGCCGUGUAGAUGAUGUAUGGGAGUCAGACUAUCCGAGAUAAGUUGGGUAGUCGAAAGGGAAAGAGCCCAGACCUGCAGCUAAGGCCCCAAAAUGUGUGUUAAGUGGAAAAGGAUGUGGGAUUUCGAAGACAACUAGGAUGUUGGCUUAGAAGCAGCCAUCCAUUAAAAGAGUGCGUAAUAGCUCACUAGUCGAGAGGUCCUGCGCCGAAAAUGUCCGGGGCUGAAACACACUGCCGAAGCUCAGGAAUCUGCGAAUGCAGGUUGGUAGAGGAGCAUUCUUAAAGAGACGAAGCUGUACCGAAAGGAGCAGUGGAUUUUUAAGAAGAGAGAAUGCCGGAAUGAGUAGCGAGAAAGAGGUGAGAAUCCUCUUGGCCGAAUAUCUAAGGUUUCCAGGGUAAAGCUGAUCUGCCCUGGGUAAGUCGGGGCCUAAGGCGAGGUCGAAAGACGUAGUCGAUGGAUAACAGGUUGAAAUUCCUGUACUAUCCUGUAACAGAACUGUGGGGACGCAGACAGAGAGCACAAGCCGGGAAUGGAAAGACCGGUGCAAGCGAGGUAGGAGUACAUCAGGCAAAUCCGGUGUGCAAUCCGAAGACGUGAUGCGGAUCGAAAAGAAGUAGAGAAGUGUGUGAGCUGGCUGCCAAGAAAAGCCGCUAUUGUUUACAGGAUACCCGUACCGUAAACCGACACAGGUGGAUGAGGAGAGAAUCCUAAGGCCGACGGGAGAAGCAUUGUUAAGGAACUCGGCAAAAUGACUCCGUAACUUCGGGAGAAGGAGUGCCAUGCGAAUGGCCGCAGAGAAUUGGCCCAAGCAACUGUUUAGCAAAAACACAGGUCUAUGCGAAACCGAAAGGUGAGGUAUAUGGGCUGACGCCUGCCCGGUGCUGGAAGGUUAAGAGGAGAAGUCAGGCAACGAAGCUUCGAAUUUAAGCCCCAGUAAACGGCGGCCGUAACUAUAACGGUCCUAAGGUAGCGAAAUUCCUUGUCGGGUAAGUUCCG
rnacentral:rRNA from 1 species